GGAUGGGUGGCCGAGCGGUUUAAGGCACCGGUCUUGAAAACCGGCGACGUGCAAGCGUCCGUGGGUUCGAAUCCCACCCCAUCCGCCA
rnacentral:tRNA from 2 species